rnacentral:rRNA from 1 species
GAUGAACGCUGGCGGCGUGCCUAAUACAUGCCAGUCGAGCGAACAGAUGAGGAGCUUGCUCCUCUGACGUUAGCGGCGGACGGGUGAGUAACACGUGGAUAACCUACCUAUAAGACUGGGAUAACUUCGGGAAACCGGCGCUAAUACCGGAUAAUAUAUUGAACCGCAUUGUUCAAUAGUGAAAGACGGUUUUGCUGUCACUUAUAGAUGGAUCCGCGCCGCAUUAGCUAGUUGGUAAGGUAACGGCUUACCAAGGCAACGAUGCGUAGCCGACCUGAGAGGGUGAUCGGCCACACUGGAACUGAGACACGGUCCAGACUCCUACGGGAGGCAGCAGUAGGGAAUCUUCCGCAAUGGGCGAAAGCCUGACGGAGCAACGCCGCGUGAGUGAUGAAGGUCUUCGGAUCGUAAAACUCUGUUAUUGGGGAAGAAAAAAUGUGUAAGUAACUAUGCACGUCUUGACGGUACCUAAUCAGAAAGCCACGGCUAACUACGUG